GACGAACGCUGGCGGCGUGCUUACCCAUGCAAGUCGAACGGAAAGGCCCUGCUUUUGUGGGGUGCUCGAGUGGCGAACGGGUGAGUAACACGUGAGUAACCUGCCCUUGACUUUGGGAUAACUUCAGGAAACUGGGGCUAAUACCGGAUAGGAGCUCCUGCUGCAUGGUGGGGGUUGGAAAGUUUCGGCGGUUGGGGAUGGACUCGCGGCUUAUCAGCUUGUUGGUGGGGUAGUGGCUUACCAAGGCUUUGACGGGUAGCCGGCCUGAGAGGGUGACCGGCCACAUUGGGACUGAGAUACGGCCCAGACUCCUACGGGAGGCAGCAGUGGGGAAUAUUGCACAAUGGGCGGAAGCCUGAUGCAGCAACGCCGCGUGCGGGAUGACGGCCUUCGGGUUGUAAACCGCUUUCGCCUGUGACGAAGCGUGAGUGACGGUAAUGGGUAAAGAAGCACCGGCUAACUACGUG
rnacentral:rRNA from 1 species